AGAUUGGAGGCUGCUGAUGGGGGGCUCCUGGCUGGCCCGGCAUGGAGGGAGCAGAGUGGGGUGCGUGGGGGGAAGGGCAGCCCCUCUGCCCUCUGGACAAGAGACCCAACGGGGGAAGCUGCAGCCAAAGGGGCUGGCGUGAGCUGGGCAGUGGGGACGACAGCGCCGUGAGAGAGAUCUUGGACCCUCGCUCAGUGCCUGGGUUGCCAAUGAAGGGGAGCGGGUGGAGCCAGGAGUCCCAAGGACUGAAGGAAAUGCCAGGCACCCGGCUGCUUAGUUUCUCAGAACCGACCAGACAGGUGACUCGGUGGGGCUACCUGCCUGGGGAGAAAACAUCAGACACCCAGGGGGAAGCGGAACAAGAACGGGCACCUAGACGGUGAAGUCCUACAAAUUUGAACCCAGGCUCAUGCUUUUAGAGGCCAGCUGGACUGGCUGAGAGCCAGGGCCCACAGGCUCACGUUCUGAACAGGCCGGGUGACUGACCUCGGGGAACAAGAUCCCCAGGGCCAGUGGUGGGCGCCCCCUCUUCUGGGGUCUGGAGAUCCAGUGGGGUGCCUUUCUGGAAGGGGGGCAUCAACCAGACCCCAGUUACUGGGUUCAACUUCAGUGCAUAGGGAACUGGGAGGAGUUUGCAGGCCUGUGAUGUGCGGGUCAGAUUAGAUGAGUUAAUGGCCCCUCCUGGCCUUAAGGCCUAUGGAUCUAUGAAAACCUGACAUGCCCACCCAGUUGAGUGGGCUGAGAUAAUUCCGUCCCCUUGUCAAUUGCAUCUUAGCACACUUGGCUGUGAUCAGUCCCUGCUGUGUCCUACGUGCCUCUCUUGCGUCCGGAUACAGUUAGACUCCGGAGCAGAGGACAAAGAGGAACCAGGAAGAAAGAGGCUGACAGUCCCCUGUCUCGAGGCCGUUAGAAGAGCUGGGGGAGAGAUUUAGGCAUCCCAGUGAAGGGACCCCCCCCGCUACACCUCUGCUCUGCUGGCGUUCCCCCUCCUGCCCGGGCGCUCUGAAGUGUGUUCGUUCUGGGCGUGGUUGGCUCCGAGCCGGCGAGUCACACGGGCAGGCAAAGACAAUGUCCAUGUGAGGGCUGCUUGCAGGCUGGGAUCGUGCAGGGGCCAGGCAGUCACCUGGCAGCAGAGAGCAGAGCUGGCCGUGGAACGUGGAGCCGGGCCAAGGAACGAGGACAGCUCGCAGAGUGCUGACUCACGAGCCCCGGACCUGGCUGGCCGGGGAGCCGGGACGGUGCCGGCAGCAGGAUCCCGGAACCGCGCGGUCUGUCUCCACAGGAAAGCAGAGGUGGGGAGGGCAGGUUCUGGCUCAGUCCUGGG